GGGGAAUUGUUCGCAAUGGGCGCAAGCCUGACGACGCAACGCCGCGUGGAGGAUGAAGGUCUUCGGAUUGUAAACUCCUGUUGCCCGGGACGAAAUGCUUCGACCUAACACGUCGAAGUUUGACGGUACCGGGUGAGGAAGCCCCGGCUAACUUCGUGCCAGCAGCCGCGGUAAGACGAAGGGGGCUAGCGUUGUUCGGAAUUACUGGGCGUAAAGCGAGUGUAGGUGGUUUUCCAAGUUGGAUGUGAAAGCCUUGAGCUCAACUCAAGAAAUGCAUUCAGGACUGGGCGGCUAGAGGACCGGAGAGGAUAGUGGAAUUCCCAGUGUAGUGGUGAAAUACGUAGAGAUUGGGAAGAACACCAGUGGCGAAGGCGGCUAUCUGGACGGUUUCUGACACUAAGACUCGAAAGCGUGGGGAGCAAAC
rnacentral:rRNA from 1 species